rnacentral:rRNA from 1 species
UACGGGGGGAGCAAGCGUUGUUCGGAUUUACUGGGCGUAAAGGGCGCGUAGGCGGUCGUGACAAGUCACUUGUGAAAUCUCCGGGCUUAACUCGGAGCGGUCAAGUGAUACUGUCGGACUAGAGUACAGAAGGGGCAACUGGAAUUCUCGGUGUAGCGGUGAAAUGCGUAGAUAUCGAGAGGAACACCAGUGGCGAAGGCGAGUCCCUGGACGACUCCUGACACUGAGGCACGAAAGCUAGGGGAGCAAACAGG